AGGGUCGCUUAGACCUAGUAAUUCAGGGCCAGCUUGGGCAGCACAGCGAGACCCGUCUCUGAUAAUACGGUGCCACCUUGGUUCACGAACUCGGUUCUCCGUGAUUCUGGUCACGAACUGACCUGGGUGAGGACCCAUUCAAAUUUCCCUACCAGGUCAGCACCACUGAAUUUGAUUGGGUUCUCACCCAACUGUUUCCAGCCAGAAUUGUGGAAAGAAUCAAAUUCCUGAACUGAGGUACCACUAUACUUCCACACAAAGAGCAAGUAAGAAAAGUGGCAUUGUUUCCUUUCCUGCAGAUGUCUAUGUCAACCUUAGAGUGCAGCUGGGGGUUUUAUCUGCUUCUGCGUUCACUGUGUGACAGUGUCGCAUGUCUGUAGCCCCUAGAAGACACCAUUAAACUACACUGAAGACAGGAUGAAAAAGAAAUGUGUUAACGGGGUAUCACUAAAGAGGGUUUGGGCCUCCCAGACGCCCUGCAUGGGUCUCAGGACCUGCAGGGAUGCGAAGGCCUAAGAGAAGCUCUUGGCAAACUUCAAAAAUACCUAUUCCAGGGCCAGGGAUUUAGCUCAGGGGUGCUGCCACCUGCCUCGCAAGCUCAAGAUCUGGAGUUCCAUCCCUGGUACAAAAAAAAACCCCUGUUCCUCCACCUCCCGCAAAAGCCUGGCCCGCUGUGUCUGGAACAUCCUGGCUGUUGUGACCCUCGGCCGCUCCGGAGAGCCUGUGUGCCCCACCCUGGUCUCCCGCUGUGCCCUGACCUGAUCCACCCUUGACGUAUCCUGCUCUGUAGCGCAUAUGAGACAGCUGUGACAUCUGAGUGGGAAUCAGAAGGAAGCUCACUACACAACUGGGCGACCCGACACCCGCUUCUGUCAGGCGCUUCCUCUCCUAGCUCCCAGCCUUCUGCACGGCAGCCUGGGAGGACAGAGGACAGAGGACGGAGCGAGCCUCUUCCCUUGCCCGGUGCGUGCCUAGGGAGUGACACGCAUCACAGAAAAUAUUGCCAGUUACGUUUACACAGCAGUGUCAGACCCUUCUAUUGAAGCAGAAAUAGUGACAUUCUUAAAAAGUAUAUGGUAAAUCAAUGAACUUUCACAUGCAGAAAAUAGGAUGAUUAUUAGUAUACGUUCAGGAAUCUACAAGAAUCUUCCAUCUACACCUAUCAUGAAGCAUUUUUAUUUGCAGAAUUAUAAUCAGUAUAUGGUUCUCCCUGUAUUUCUCUAAUGGACAUCUCUUAUGAGUGUUUCUGAUACACUGACAGAAAAGCCUCCUUUGUUGCCGGGUGUGGUGGUACACACCUAACCCCAGCACUCAGGAGGCUGAGGCAGGAGAUCACUGAGUUUGAGGCCAGUCUGGGCUACAUAGUUCAGAGCCAGCUGAACGACACAGUGAGGAGUCUCAAUAACAAAAGCCUCCUUUGCAGAUUUUCCCAGUGACCCAGAGACAGUGGAGGUUUGUGCAUAUGUGUGAAAUAACAGCGCGGAGCGGGGUCCCACAGGGAAAGGCCUGUCAUCAGCAAUACCUUCAUCUUCUUCACUGAAAACUUGUUAGUGUGACUAAUGUCUCAGAGGUUCGCUAAAAGGAUAGUCAUCUGGGCCAGGCAUUUAGCUCAGUGGCUCCACUGCCUGCCUCGCAAGCACAAGCCCCUGAGUUUGAUCCCCAGUACCAAUAAAUAAAUAAAUAAAUAAAUAAAAGAGUAGUCAUCUGAUAAAAGCUGUUUACUUC
ensembl:lncRNA